rnacentral:lncRNA from 1 species
GAUCACGUUUUUUGUAGAAAUUAAGCAGGAAUAGUCAGCAUGGCCAUCUAACAAUAGGGCUACUUGUUCACAUCCAAGGAACUGCUGGCUUGACUCUGUCCUGUUCCCUUCCAGGCACAACAUCAUGGUGAAUUUCUACGGAGGCAAUCAUUGUAACCCCUGGGAGAGAAAGAAGAAAUAAUGGUUAAUCCACUACUGCACAGAGUCUGAAAUGCAGGUGUACAGCAGUGCUGAUAAAAGACCAAAACAGCAUCCUGUCAGAUCUAUUUGAAUCAUUACUUAAGAUGAGAUCAACAGGUAAAAUAGUCUUCACAGAAAGCUUUCUGCCAGUUGGUGAUUUCUGGAAUAUAAACCCCUGAUUCACA